ACAGAGAGCCGCACUGUCGCUUGAGCAAUCGAGAGGAAAGUCCGGGCAACAGAUUGGGGCACCAUACUUCCUAACGGGAAGCUAUCUGCGAAGGUAGAGUUAAGGUAACAGAAAACAACCGCCUCUUUGGAGGUAAGGGUGAAAAGGCAGGGUAAGAGCCUACCGGCUUUAUGGCAACAUGAAGCGCCGUACCACUUAUGGGUUGCAAGGCCAUGUAAACCGACGUUACGAGGGUUGCCCGCCCCAUGUCGGAGGGUAGGCCGCUAGAGCCUGCAGGAGACUGCAGGUCCAGAUAAAUGACAGUAUAGAACAGAACCCGGCUUAUGGGUUCUCUGUUAUU
rnacentral:RNase_P_RNA from 1 species